rnacentral:rRNA from 1 species
UACGGGAGGGCUAGCGUUGUCCGGAAUCACUGGGCGUAAAGGGCGCGUAGGUGGUUUGAUAAGGGUGUGGUGAAAGUCCGGGGCUCAACCCCGGAUCUGCCGUGCCGACUGUCAAACUCGAGGACUGUAGAGGCAGACGGAAUUCCGGGUGUAGCGGUGGAAUGCGUAGAGAUCCGGAGGAAGACCGGUGGCGAAGGCGGUCUGCUGGGCAGUUUCUGACACUGAGGCGCGACAGCGUGGGGGAGCAAACAGGG